UGGAGAGGUAGCUAGCACCAGAGAGCAUGGUGUCAUAUUGUUGGAGAGGUAGCUAGCACCAGGGAGCAUGGUGUCAUAUUGUUGGAGAGGUAGCUAGCACCAGAGAGCAUGGUGUCAUAUUGUUGGAGAGGUAGCUAGCACCAGAGAGCAUGGUGUCAUAUUGUUGGAGAGGUAGCUAGCACCAGAGAGCAUGGUGUCAUAUUGUUGGAGAGGUAGCUAGCACCAGAGAGCAUGGUGUAAUAUUGUUGGAGAGGUAGCUAGCACCAGAGAGCAUGGUGUCAUAUUGUUGGAGAGGUAGCUAGCACCAGAGAGCAUGGUGUCAUAUUGUUGGAGAGGUAGCUAGCACCAGAGAGCAUGGUGUCAUAUUGUUGGAGAGGUAGCCAG